rnacentral:rRNA from 1 species
GAUGAACGCUGGCGGCGUGCUUAACACAUGCAAGUCGAACGGUGAAGCCAAGCUUGCUUGGUGGAUCAGUGGCGAACGGGUGAGUAACACGUGAGCAACCUGCCCUGGACUCUGGGAUAAGCGCUGGAAACGGCGUCUAAUACUGGAUAUGAGCCUCUUCCGCAUGGUGGGGGUUGGAAAGAUUUUUUGGUCUGGGAUGGGCUCGCGGCCUAUCAGCUUGUUGGUGAGGUAAUGGCUCACCAAGGCGUCGACGGGUAGCCGGCCCGAGAGGGUGACCGGCCACACUGGGACUGAGACACGGCCCAGACUCCUACGGGAGGCAGCAGUGGGGAAUAUUGCACAAUGGGCGAAAGCCUGAUGCAGCAACGCCGCGUGAGGGAUGACGGCCUUCGGGUUGUAAACCUCUUUUAGCAGGGAAGAAGCGAAAGUGACGGUACCUGCAGAAAAAGCGCCGGCUAACUACGUG